UACGUAGGGUGCGAGCGUUAUCCGGAAUUAUUGGGCGUAAAGAGCUCGUAGGCGGUGUGUCGCGUCGGCCGUGAAAACCUGCAGCUUAACUGUGGGCUUGCGGUCGAUACGGGCAUCACUGGAGUUCGGCAGGGGAGACUGGAAUUCCUGGUGUAGCGGUGAAAUGCGCAGAUAUCAGGAGGAACACCGGUGGCGAAGGCGGGUCUCUGGGCCGAUACUGACGCUGAGGAGCGAAAGCGUGGGGAGCGAACAGG
rnacentral:rRNA from 1 species